GACGAACGCUGGCGGCGUGCUUAACACAUGCAAGUCGAACGGAAAGGCCCCUUUGGGUGUACUCGAGUGGCGAACGGGUGAGUAACACGUGAGUAACCUGCCCUUGACUGCGGGAUAACUUCAGGAAACUGGGGCUAAUACCGAAUAGGAAUCCGUGCUGAAUGAGGGGGGUUGGAAAGCUUCGGCGGUUGUGGAGGGACUCGCGGCUUAUCAGCUUGUUGGUGGGGAAGUGGCUUACCAAGGCUUUGACGGGUCGCCGGACUGAGAGGGCGACCGGCCACAUUGGGACUGAGAUACGGCACAGACUCCUACGGGAGGAAGCAGUGGGGAAUAUUGCACAAUGGGCGGAAGCCUGAUGCAGCAACGCCGCGUGCGGGAUGACGGCCUUCGGGUUGUCAAACGGUUUCAGCAGGGGCGAAGCUUGUGGUGACGGUACCUGAAGAAGAAGCACCGGCUAACUACGUG
rnacentral:rRNA from 1 species